GGACUGGUGAGGAGUCCCACAAUAGGACAAAACGGCCGUCCAGUGC
rnacentral:hammerhead_ribozyme from 1 species